rnacentral:misc_RNA from 1 species
GUUAACAUAGCAUGCCCAUUCUAUAAUUGUAGAACAUGUCAAGAUGCCACAACAUGUCUUCGUAAGAUCAGCAAAUGUCACCAACACCAUAAAGUUGAGAAUGAAAUUAGCAAAAACUGAAAGGUAGGACUCAAAUUGAUAUACACUAUAGUUUUGGAUUUUUUUAGGUGAUUUGGUUUUUUUGUUACUAGGCUUAGAGUCAAUUCAGUAUCAGACACAUUACUGUUGGGGAAAAAAAAUAUUCAGCUCAGUUUAAAGAUUACCACACCUUAUGCCUGGAAUAAUCUUGAUGCACACAUGCAUGGAUUUCACCAGGGUUCAUUAUAAUCGAUGAACUGUUAAUGUAGCAACAUUUAUAUGACAGAUGCCACUUACUCUUCUUAAGGC